UACGUAGGGGGCAAGCGUUGUCCGGAAUCACUGGGCGUAAAGCGCACGUAGGCGGGUCUUUAAGUCAGGGGUGAAAUCCUGGAGCUCAACUCCAGAACUGCCUUUGAUACUGAGGAUCUCGAGUCCGGGAGAGGUGAGUGGAACUCCGAGUGUAGAGGUGAAAUUCGUAGAUAUUCGGAAGAACACCAGUGGCGAAGGCGGCUCACUGGCCCGGUACUGACGCUGAGGUGCGAAAGCGUGGGGAGCAAACAGG
rnacentral:rRNA from 1 species